rnacentral:rRNA from 1 species
UGGGGGAUAUUGCACAAUGGGCGAAAGCCUGAUGCAGCGACGCCGCGUGGGGGAUGAAGGCUUUCGGGUUGCAAACCUCUUUCGCUAUCGAACAAGGCCCGCUUAGGGUGGGUUGAGGGUAGGGGGAGAAGAAGCGCCGGCUAACUACGUGCCAGCAGCCGCGGUAAUACGUAGGGCGCGAGCGUUGUCCGGAAUUAUUGGGCGUAAAGGGCUUGUAGGCGGCUUGUUGCGCCUGCUGUGAAAACGCGGGGCUUAACUUCGCGCGUGCAGUGGGUACGGGCAGGCUUGAGUGUGGUAGGGGUGACUGGAAUUCCAGGUGUAGCGGUGGAAUGCGCAGAUAUCUGGAAGAACACCGAUGGCGAAGGCAGGUCACUGGGCCAUUACUGACGCUGAGGAGCGAAAGCAUGGGUAGCGAACAGG